AUGAACCAGGCAAGCAGCAGCUCACGGUUUUAAGAUUAGCAAAGCAUGUGAACAAAUGUCAUCUCACUGGUUCCUCACAACUCUGGGAGAGAAUAACUUUUUCUAUCUGAAUGGAAGAGAGCCAAUUGUCCAGGAACAAGAAUUCCACCUAAGGUGGAGUCAGUCACCAGAGAAGAAAAUGAUGAAAGUUCUCCAAAAGUUCUAGCCAUGACUUUCAUGCUUUUGUGAAUGAGUUUAAGCAAGCUGGAUUACGGUCCCAUUAAGCAAUAUGGCCCAUUCAAGGGUCUACUCCAAGCCAAGCUGUUUGAAAUGAAACACAGCACCCGAUCGUAGAGCAGCGACCUCUAACAGAAUGAAAAAGAGCCUGAACAUAAUGCACGCUCAGUAAGCCCGUGUGGAAUGAACAGCAGAUGGAUCCCAGCCUUUGAACUCAUGGGGCCCUCCAGGUGAACAGGGGCCAAAGCUGGCAGUGAGCCUCAAAACUCACCUAAUUCUAUUCUCAUUUAUUAAAGCAUAUCAUCACUGCGCAAGGUACAGCAAGGGGAAAAACACGUUGCAGAAAUAAUCAGAAAGGAAAACCCUGGGGCAGCAACAAAAGCAGGGCUGCCCAGCAUUCAAAGGAGAAGACUCUGAGAAGGGGCAGCUGGCGGGGGUUUGGGGAGGGGAGAGAAGAAAAGCCAGAGCCCACAUUUCAGAGAAAAGGGGACAUUUCCACCAUCACAAAAGGCUAAGUAGAAUGGUACAGGACAGGGACUCUGGCGGAAGAAAAGACCUUCACAAAGGCAUCCAGGGCCUGUUCUGGAAAAUAUGUUGGGUCCAGUUUGCCUGGAGUGUGAUGUACAUGGGAGGAAGCCGAGAGAGCUGUGAUUCCAGGUGCCAGAGGCCGCCAUUGGAGAAUGCCAGGCUGAGAUUGGACUUACAUAAGACAGUGCUAGUGAGGAAUUGUGAGCAGAAGAAGACUGCUGUUGGGCUGGUGUGUUAAAGACAGCUUAGAGGACAGGCUAGAAGCUUUUGAAAAGGGCUGGGCAAUCAUGGGCAAAGGCCCAGAUUAGGGUAGUAGAAAUGCCAGUUAAGAAAAGAGAGAUGGAAAGAUAUAUGUGAAUGUUACAAGAAGACAUGGCUGUUUUAUCUGCUGCUCCAUGAUCAAAAAGUAUAGACAGGACUGAGUCAGGCUGAUUCGUGGCCAGCUGGGAAGGCCAAGGGACUAUGGGGCCCUUAGGGCUCCAAAAAUCCACAGGCACAUAUGAAACAAGAUCCAGUGCUGGGUGAAAUGAGCAGAAGCAGGAGAACAUGGCACACAGAACACCACACAGUGAGCUGGUCAGCUUUGACGUAAGACUUUAGGAGUCUUAGCUCUUCUCAGCAAUGCAAUGAUCUAAAAUAAUUCCAAAAGACUCAAUGAUGGAAGAUGCGAUCCACAAAGAAAGUCUACCGAGUCUAAAUGCAGACAGAAGUAAACUAUUUUCACUUUUUGUUUUAUCUUUUCUA